UCCCGCACAAGCGGUGGAGCAUGCGGAUUAAUUCGAUGCAACGCGAAGAACCUUACCAAGGCUUGACAUAUACCGGAUCGUUCCAGAGAUGGUUCUUCCCCUUUGGGGUCGGUAUACAGGUGGUGCAUGGUUGUCGUCAGCUCGUGUCGUGAGAUGUUGGGUUAAGUCCCGCAACGAGCGCAACCCUCGUUCCAUGUUGCCAGCACGUGAUGGUGGGGACUCAUGGGAGACUGCCGGGGUCAACUCGGAGGAAGGUGGGGAUGACGUCAAAUCAUCAUGCCCCUUAUGUCUUGGGCUUCACGCAUGCUACAAUGGCCGGUACAAAGGGUUGCGAUACUGUGAGGUGGAGCUAAUCCCAAAAAGCCGGUCUCAGUUCGGAUUGAGGUCUGCAACUCGACCUCAUGAAGUCGGAGUCGCUAGUAAUCGCAGAUCAGCAACGYGCUAACUUAUUAAUAAAC
rnacentral:rRNA from 1 species